rnacentral:tRNA from 1 species
GGCACGGUGGUAUAGCAGUUAGAACGCUGGCCUUGUAAUCCUGGGGUCUCGGGUUCGAUUCCCGGCGGUGCCC